rnacentral:rRNA from 1 species
GACGAACCGUGCGAACGUUGUUCGGAAUCACUGGGCUUAAAGGGCGCGUAGGCGGGCCGGACAGUCUGUGGUGAAAGCCCCCGGCUCAACUGGGGAGGGUCAUUCGAUACUGAUCGACUUGAAGGCAGGAGAGGGAAGUGGAAUUCCGGGUGUAGUGGUGAAAUGCGUAGAUAUCCGGAGGAACACCAGUGGCGAAGGCGACUUCCUGGCCUGUUCUUGACGCUGAGGCGCGAAAGCUGGGGGAGCAAACGGG